GUGGGUAGUUUGACUGGGGCGGUCUCCUCCUAAAGAGUAACGGAGGAGCACGAAGGUUGGCUAAUCCUGGUCGGACAUCAGGAGGUUAGUGCAAUGGCAUAAGCCAGCUUGACUGCGAGCGUGACGGCGCGAGCAGGUGCGAAAGCAGGUCAUAGUGAUCCGGUGGUUCUGAAUGGAAGGGCCAUCGCUCAACGGAUAAAAGGUACUCCGGGGAUAACAGGCUGAUACCGCCCAAGAGUUCAUAUCGACGGCGGUGUUUGGCACCUCGAUGUCGGCUCAUCACAUCCUGGGGCUGAAGUAGGUCCCAAGGGUAUGGCUGUUCGCCAUUUAAAGUGGUACGCGAGCUGGGUUUAGAACGUCGUGAGACAGUUCGGUCCCUAUCUGCCGUGGGCGCUGGAGAACUGAGGGGGGCUGCUCCUAGUACGAGAGGACCGGAGUGGACGCAUCACUGGUGUUCGGGUUGUCAUGCCAAUGGCACUGCCCGGUAGCUAAAUGCGGAAGAGAUAAGUGCUGAAAGCAUCUAAGCACGAAACUUGCCCCGAGAUGAGUUCUCCCUGAGACUUUAGGUCUCCUGAAGGAACGUUGAAGACGACGACGUUGAUAGGCCGGGUGUGUAAGCGCAGCGAUGCGUUGAGCUAACCGGUACUAAUGAACCGUGAGGCUUAA
rnacentral:rRNA from 1 species